AGGUGAAUAGAAAAAGGCGAGAUCGUCUAGGGUCGGCCAUCGGCGUCCAUCGGAAGACCGCAGAUCUGCCAUAGCCCCCUUCAAUUUCUAUCCGACAGUUUGUGUAGCAGACUAGCAGGCAAGGUGACGAUGGCAAUAAGCUAUUGUGGCUGGACAGGGUGACCGGAAGGGUUUGCACAUCGAUUUCUGCAAAGGCCAUGGCUAUAACAGGGAUUGAGGAUCGGCGAUACUGGAACUGGAUUGCUGCUGAAGAAUCAAGGAGUCAAAAGUGGUAUGAACCAGAAUGGUGGAAGUUUGGUGA